UACGUAGGGGGCAAGCGUUGUCCGGAUUUAUUGGGCGUAAAGAGCGUGUAGGCGGCCGUACAGGUCAGCUGUGAAAACUCGAGGCUCAACCUCGAGACGUCGGUUGAAACCGUACGGCUAGAGUCCGGAAGAGGAGAGUGGAAUUCCCGGUGUAGUGGUGAAAUGCGCAGAUAUCGGGAAGAACACCCGUGGCGAAGGCGGCUCUCUGGGACGGUACUGACGCUGAGACGCGAAAGCGUGGGGAGCAAACAGG
rnacentral:rRNA from 1 species